GUGACUUGCAGCAUGCUUUUGUGUGUGAAGAUUAUAUAUUAUAUAUUUAUAUCUCCUGGUGUGUGCAGGAGACAGGAGUCAAUGAUACUGGUCAAGGACUAGUUUCCAAUCCCAUAUUCUCUGGUAUCCAGGAGUAUAAAACAGCUGGCAAAUGAAGAAUGAAUGGUGUUUAUCUGGACAAAAGCAGUCCUGAACACUGCAGUUCUGAGCCUACAAGAUGGAUAGACUGGGAAAGUGUUGGAAGCCUGUCAACAGAAGUCUUUUAAAUUAAUUACCCAGUGAAAGUUAUGUGAUCCAGAGGGCAGUUUGGACUGUAUUUAGGGAUUACUUGGAAAUCAAAUCAAAAUGUAGCAAUUUGUAAGCAAGCUUUCCUACAAAGAGGCUGCCUGACUGGUGCUAAGGUAUUUCAGGCAACUGACAAUCUGAAAUGCUGCCAGCACAGACUUCUGGCCAGCUCACAGCACAGUAAUAGCUCUCAAUAUAAGUUCUCCAGAAUCCAUCUCAAACAAGAUGAUUGUAUCCUAUGAGCCAUGAAAAGUUGAUAUGGGAAAAAAGAGACACAGGAGAAGGUAUUUUAUUUUUUUAUAUUGGCUUGGGAUAUUUUUAAUAAAGAGGAUCACUUAUUUUCCA
rnacentral:lncRNA from 1 species